GACGAACGCUGGCGGCGUGCUUAACACAUGCAAGUCGAACGCUGAAGACCUGGCUUUUGUUGGGUUGGAUGAGUGGCGAACGGGUGAGUAACACGUGAGUAACCUGCCCUCUUCUUUGGGAUAACGCCCGGAAACGGGUGCUAAUACUGGAUAUUCACUGAUCUUCGCAUGGGGGUUGGUGGAAAGGUUUGUUCUGGUGGGGGAUGGGCUCGCGGCCUAUCAGCUUGUUGGUGGGGUGAUGGCCUACCAAGGCUUUGACGGGUAGCCGGCCUGAGAGGGUGACCGGUCACAUUGGGACUGGGAUACGGCCCAGACUCCUACGGGAGGCAGCAGUGGGGAAUAUUGCACGAUGGGCGAAAGCCUGAUGCAGCGACGACGCGUGAGGGAUGGAGGCCUUCGGGUUGUAAACCUCUUUCGCUCAUGGUCAAGCCGCAACUGUGGGUUGUGGUGAGGGUAGUGGGUAAAGAAGCGCCGGCUAACUACGUG
rnacentral:rRNA from 1 species